UUUUAUGAGAGUUUGAUCCUGGCUCAGGAUGAACGCUGGCGGCGUGCCUAACACAUGCAAGUCGAACGGGGCGCGCAGGCUGAGGCUUUUCGGAGCGGAAGCCUGCGCUGCCCAGUGGCGGACGGGUGAGUAACGCGUGGGCAACCUGCCCUGCACUGGGGGACAACAGCCGGAAACGGCUGCUAAUACCGCAUAUGCCCGCAGCCCCGCAUGGGGCGGCGGGGGAAGCUCCGGCGGUGCAGGAUGGGCCCGCGUCUGAUUAGCUGGUUGGCGGGGCAACGGCCCACCAAGGCGACGAUCAGUAGCCGGCCUGAGAGGGUGGGCGGCCACAUUGGGACUGAGACACGGCCCAGACUCCUACGGGAGGCAGCAGUGGGGGAUAUUGCACAAUGGGGGGAACCCUGAUGCAGCGACGCCG
rnacentral:ncRNA from 1 species